CACUCUCACAUCUCCUCCUCUACAAUGUCAACAGCCUCGGACUCAACAUUCUCUCUAAUCCCUCAAAAUUCUCUGCACUCUGUGCUCUCCUCCUCCUCCUUGUCCUCCUCCUCCUCCUCAACCAUGUUCCUCCCUCUCAUAUACUUCCUCUUCCUCUUCACUUUCACGCAACACCGCCGCCGUCCACAGGUCACCAACGGCCGCCGAAUUAAACUCCCAGAAUCAUUUUCCGUCCUCUUUCCAAGCCCCAAGUUAGUUUCUACAGAUUCGUAACCGAAUUUCCUCAAUUUCAGAUCUAAGAAACGGUGAUCAUUGGUUUUCCGGCCAAUUUUUGGCCAAGCCUGUCAAAAUUGGACCUCGACCUAAGAGAUCAGUGAACAGCUUCUCGGUGUCCACAGAGUGCAAGCAAGGUGAACUUCGUCGGUUGGUUAUGGCAGUUUUUUGGUGCGUACCAUUUCGUUCCUGCCAUAUGGGUAACGUCAUUCCUUUCUUGAUUAGAAUUAUUGACUUCUAUUGGUAUUCAUGAGUGAUAGCAAUUCUUUGUUUGAGAUGGGUAAUCUUGGUUGAGAAAUUUGUUCUAAUCAGCUGUAAAAUAUGGUCGAAAGUUUGUUGUCCUUGGAAGUCCAUGGCUUGGAAUCGUCGGGGUUGUUCCCGGCAAUGAUAUUUUGUCAAGCUUAUCGAAUAAAUUAUCUUGAUGUUUUCUGUUGUAUCUCGAAUAAAUUUGUCAUUUGCUGUUGCAUCUCAUGGUCAGUGUGGGGGUUUCCUGUUAUUAAGGAACUCUAUUUCGGUUAAUUUUAAGAAUACUAAAAGUUCGGAUAUGUUUUCGGAUGAAAGGUGGCCUUUCUUUUUUUAUAUUGGAGGGGUGUUGCAUAAAAUUUGAUACCUGCACGGCUGCACACAAGUCAAUAACAUGAAACAUGGAGGGUGUGUAAAUCCAUCCGUCUCAGAGGUUUUGGGUUUCAUAUAUAUAGUCAAUUAUCGUACGUUCAAAGUUUGUUAUUGACCAAAAGAAAGAACUAAGUAAUUGAUUAUUAAUCAACUGAUGAUAAAGUAACCUAUUUUGUAAAAUGUUGGUAAUUCUAGUUUUGUAGACUGUAAGUUAUGGAGAUAUGUGACCUUUUCUGAAUUAAUUCGAGGGAUAUUACAAGCGUACACUGGUGUUGAAAAUUAAAUUGGAUUGCUCCGCUCUCUCAGUGCCUGGGUAUUAUAUAAAGCUUUGCGCUUUCAGAUUAAGAACUAAAGGGAAACUACGGCUGUAAUUCUCAAGGUUGAGGAGUAAAAGAUAAUGCUUGAGGAGUAAAAUAUAUUUUUAACAAGCCAGGGUCACUGCCGAGAAGAACUCCUCUGUCAUAGGAGACUGGCUACUAUUGUUAGCAGAGACAUUACUCAAAGUUUGAACUCAGAAUUUGAUACAUCAAAAACUGCUUGAAAAGGCGAAACAUCAAAAACAGCUACGGCCGGAUUCAUAGUAGGAUUGUUGCCCAAAAAUUCUAGCUGUAUGCUGGAAGUUCAUACUCUCUUUGCACUCAAGUUCAAUAUCCCUCCCCGUAAAUUUGAGUAAUUUCAUCGAAUCAAAAUCCCAAAUUCCUAAACGAGAAAAAAAAAAUUAAAAAAAUAAAGGUAAAUUUGAAAUUACCUGGUCG